rnacentral:rRNA from 1 species
GACGAACGCUGGCGGCGUGCUUAACACAUGCAAGUCGAGCGGUAAGGCCCUUUCGGGGGUACACGAGCGGCGAACGGGUGAGUAACACGUGGGUGACCUGCCCUCAGCUCUGGGAUAAGCCUGGGAAACCGGGUCUAAUACUGGAUAUGACUCCAUGACGCAUGUUGUGUGGUGGAAAGCCUUGUGCGGCUGAGGAUGGGCCCGCGGCCUAUCAGCUUGUUGGUGGGGGAUGGCCUACCAAGGCGACGACGGGUAGCCGGCCUGAGAGGGCGACCGGCCACACUGGGACUGAGACACGGCCCAGACUCCUACGGGAGGCAGCAGUGGGGAAUCUUGCGCAAUGGGCGAAAGCCUGACGCAGCGACGCCG